GGACGUUUUCAUUUUUCUUAUGAAAUAAACAUAGAAGAACUCUCGACAAAAUUUUCAAGCUUUUUGGUUUUGUUGGAAUUCAAUUCACUAAAAGGAAAAAGGAAAAAUGAAAAGAGCAAUAACGUGAAUCUGUAAGAGAAAGACGUAUGACGUACGAGGAAAAAUUGACGUUGAAUAAUAUUCGAGUCAGAGAAUCCAUCUGAGAUGGUGCCGUGUCGCAGUCAAGACAUCUGCACUGAGACAAUUCUAGAAGGUUCCAACAUGUGCAUGAAUGACGAAGGCAGUCCCCUCUUCAGUCUCUUGUGCACUUCCAAAAAGGUGAUACCCAACUGUCUUUAUGGAGUAGCCAGUUACUUUCUGAACGAAACUCACAGAUGGCAUACUUCUUGGCAGGAGGGAAAUAUCUGUAAUGCAGGAAGUGUAUUUGCCAGACUCACAAACCACUUAGGCUGGAUCAACUCUGUUACCCGACAAAUUAGUUGAAAAAAUAAAAAAUAUUGUAAAAAAAAUUGUUUUAAUUAAUAUUAUUUUCAC